rnacentral:rRNA from 1 species
GAUGAACGCUGGCGGCGUGCCUAAUACAUGCAAGUCGAGCGAACGGACGAGAAGCUUGCUUCUCUGAUGUUAGCGGCGGACGGUUGAGUAACACGUGGAUAACCUACCUAUAAGACUGGGAUAACUUCGGGAAACCGGCGCUAAUACCGGAUAAUAUUUUGUACCGCAUGGUUCAAAAGUGAAAGACGGUCUUGCUGUCACUUAUAGAUGGAUCCGCGCUGCAUUAGCUAGUUGGUAAGGUAACGGCUUACCAAGGCAACGAUGCAUAGCCGACCUGAGAGGGUGAUCAGCCACACUGGAACUGAGACACGGUCCAGAGUCCUAAGGGAGGCAGCAGUAGGGAAUCGUCCGCAAUGGGCGAAAGCCUGACGGAGCAACGCCGCGUGAGUGAUGAAGGUCUUCGGAUCGUAAAACACUGUUAUUAGGGAAGAACAUAUGUGUAAGUAACUGUGCACAUCUUGACGGUACCUAAUCAGAAAGCCACGGCUAACUACGUG